GACGAACGCUGGCGGCGUGCCUAAUACAUGCAAGUCGAGCGCAGGAAACUGACGGAACUCUUCGGAGGGAAGGCAGUGGAAUGAGCGGCGGACGGGUGAGUAACACGUAAGGAACCUGCCUCAAGGAUUGGGAUAACUCCGAGAAAUCGGAGCUAAUACCGGAUAGUUCAACGGACCGCAUGGUCCGCUGAUGAAAGGCGCUCCGGCGUCACCUUGAGAUGGCCUUGCGGUGCAUUAGCUAGUUGGGGGGGUAACGGCCCACCAAGGCGACGAGGCAUAGCCGACCGGGGAGGGUGAUCGGCAACACUGGGACGGAGACACGGCCCAGACUCCUACGAGAGGCAGCAGUAGGGAAUCUUCCACAAUGGACGAAAGUCUGAUGGAGCAACGCCGCGUGAGUGAUGAAGGUUUUCGGAUCGUAAAACUCUGUUGUAAGGGAAGAACACGCACGAGAGGAAAUGCUCGUACCUUGACGGUACCUUACGAGAAAGCCACGGCUAACUACGUGCCAGCCGCCGCCAGUAA
rnacentral:rRNA from 1 species